rnacentral:rRNA from 1 species
UGUCGCUGCAGUAACGGAUAUUGCGCAAUGGGCGAAAGCCUGACCCAAGGACGCCGCGUGUAGGAAGAAGCCCUCGGGGUGUAAACUACUGUCAGGGGUUAGAAAGUCCGGUUCGGCCGGAUUGAUCAGCCCCAGAGGAAGCCACGGCUAACUUCGUGCCAGCAGCCCA